CCUCUCAUUCUUCUCUCUGGGUUUACGAUGUGUCUGUUUCAUUUAUACGGUUAGAAAAGCGAGAAUGGAGGGUGAAUUAAGAAUUGUGGUGAAAUGGAGCGGAAAAGAAUACGAUAUUCUCGAUAUUCAAGAGGACGAUACUGUUCUUACUUUGAAAGAGCGUAUACAUCGAGAAACGGGUGUUCGUCCUGAACGUCAAAAGCUUUUAAAUCUCAAAUUUAAAGGCAAAGCAGUACAAGAUGAGGAUAUAAUUGGCAAGUUAAAUUUGAAGCCUGGUUUCAAACUAAUGUUGAUGGGCUCGCGUGAAGAAGAUAUUGCAGAAGCCAGUCAAGCACCAGAGAAUGUACCUGAAGUGAUUAAUGAUUUAGAUAUAGAGGAAGAGGAAGUAGAAAUCGAAAAGGCUGAAAUAAAUCUUCGUAAAAUUCAAAUACGUAUUGAUCGCUAUGUGAUUACAGAACUGAAUCCUCUGAGGGAGGGUAAAAAGCUCCUUGUUCUUGACAUAGACUAUACUUUGUUUGAUCAUAGAUCAGUGGCAGAAAGCGGAUCACAAUUAAUGCGUCCGUAUCUCCAUGAAUUCUUGACGCGUGCUUAUAAAAAUUAUGACAUAGUCAUCUGGUCGGCGACUAGCAUGAGAUGGAUUAAUGAAAAGAUGAAAUUGUUGGGAGUUUCAAAUCAUCCAAACUAUAAAAUAGCUUUCCAUCUAGAUGUUCUUGCUAUGAUUACCGUCCACACACCGAAAUAUGGUGUCGUCGGAGUAAAACCACUAGGCAUUAUCUGGGGAAAGUACAAACAGUUCUCUGCAAAAAAUACAAUAAUGUUUGACGAUAUCAGACGAAAUUUCAUAAUGAAUCCGCAAUCAGGAUUGAGAAUAAAACCUUUUAAGCAUGCUCACACCAGUAGAGUGAAAGACUUUGAAUUGUUGAAACUGUCUAGAUAUUUGGAAUUAAUAGCAGAGAUCGAUGACUUUCAAACUCUUAAUCAUAGAAAAUGGGAAGAAUACAAACCCAAGAAGAAGAGCGACCAAACGAAUGAACAAACCAGCAGCGAUGAGAAAAGUUAAAUAUUGCUGAAACUAAUAAGGGUGAAUAAUUUUUAUAUAUUUUUUUUUCUAAUAAAACCCAAUGAACGAUAUAAGAAUUGAUGACUACAAAGAAGGAAUACAAAGUUUCUGAUGACUGUACAUAAUAAAAGAAAGACACAAAAGAAUUUGAAUUUGUCAGUUAUUUUAAAAUCAUGACUAAGAAGCCAGGCUACAAGACUGUUCUCUAUACAUUGAUGAGCACUUUUUUUGCAAGAGAAUUUAUAAGGAGCCAUUUAAAUAAAGCGCACGAAUGCUCAGUACAAGAAUGAAAUAAUAUAUGUUUAAAUGGGCAUGUUAUGUAUGCAAAAUUUUGAAAAAAUAUUCUCCAUGUACAUGUGUCUCGCAAGUAUAAGUAUCGGCAAAUUUUGAGACGCGACGCAAAACGUUUGAUUCUUUACGUAAUCGUAUUAUACGCGUAUUCUACUUAUCUCAUUAAUACGUAAUAUUUCGCGCUGCAAAUUGCAAUUUCUAUCUUACAAUUAGAUUAGAGUUUAGCAGACUCUAUAUUUAAACAAUUAAAAAAUUUUUAUAUGCCAAGUUUAUAAACAUUUAAACUAUUUAAUAAAAUAUUGUUUCCAUUUCUCCAUAAAAAUUUAGAACGUUAUAAAAAGGGGUGUAUAAAAUACAAGAAAUGUACAUGAAGAUGUAAUAAAGCUUAUUUAUCCGAAAAUUAGAUUUUUAAUCUUGUGGCAUCUCUUUGUAAUUU